AGAAAUCCUAGAUAAGCACUGCCCGUUUAUCCACUUUCUCUACUGUUGGCUUCUGGGAGCAGAGGGCAGACAUCCCUGGAUUCGUCCCUCCACACCCUGGACCUUCCAAGAAAUUUCUUUCAUGAGAUUUCCUGCCUGUUGUGCCUCUCUAAUCAGAAGAAGCCAAGAAGAAAAGAAGCAAUGAAGAGGGCUGGUGAGAUGGCUCAGUGGGUAAGAGCACCCGACUGUUCUUCCGAAGGUCCAGAGUUCAAAUCCCAGUAACCACAUGGUGGCUCACAAUCAUCCGUAAUGAAAUCUGAUGCCCUCUUCUGGUGUGUCUGAAGACAGCUACAGUGUACUUACAUAUAAAAAAGAAGAAGCAAUGAAGAGAGGAAGUGAGGAGAAGGAGCAAGGCUGAGGCUCCUCAGCUCCUCAGCUCAGCUAGGGAUAUCCUCCCCCUGGGAGCUACAACACCUCUGCUGAGGAGGCUUCCUUUCAGAGGUAUGUUAUCCUGGGCUCCUGUGUCUUGGAAUGCCCUUCCACUGGGACACUGCCUCAUCUCAGAGCUGUGUGUUUCCUGCGCCCAGUGUCAUGGGAUGCCCUUCCACUGGGAUACCUCCUCCCCUCAGAGCUGAAAGGUUCCUGGGCUUCAGAGUCCCAGGAUACCCUCCCAUCUGAACAAAACCACGCCACUUGAAAACGAAAACAAAACACAAGGUAAUUUCUCCAUAGCCCCAACGCUACUGUCAUAACAUUUUUCUUAGUAUCCCCUCUCAUUCUGGCAAGGAAUUCUGUCCUUUUGAGACUCUGCCUCCUUUCCUAAGCUGAGAUUUCUGGGUCCUGAAUUCUGUCUGCCCUUGGGAAUAUUCCACACAUUGAGACCAGCAGCAUUGGGGCAAGGAAGUCAGAAAAAACCCUGUCUUUAGAGGACAGAGUAAUGCUGAUGUGAUCAGAGCUUCAAACAGAAGCCAACUGGUGCCAGCUGACGGCUCUUCACCAUCGAGAGCUUGGGGUUUUCCCAGAUAGCCACUCUGUGGGCAGACUGAGACACCAAGCCUCACUCACUAUGGCAUUCAUCAUGGCACUGUAACGGUUGGCACCCUCGUGCUGUCUCUAAGAGAGGACUUAGAGCUCCGUGGAGGAGGUGACGCUGUUUUCAUUGCUUCCAUAACGAGAGCCAGGGCCACAGCACUCUGUGCCAGAAGCAUUAAACGCUACACAAGAAAACCAUCCGAACAACGGACUUCCAAGUGAAAUCUCUGUGGGGGUUUAUAAAUAAAAGUAGAAUGAAAACGUAUCCAUAAUUCACAAGGUUAUAUUUUGUAUGAGUGGGAAAAAAAUGAAGACAAGUCCUCUGAAAAUUUCAACACAAUGAAAUAAAAACCGGUGAUAGAUGAUUUUUAAUGUCAUUUGGAAAUUACAGCGGGACAUUAUCUCCUAUGUCAUUCGUUUUAGAAAAGGGAGUAAUAAAAUAUCAUAUAUGGUUGUUUG
rnacentral:lncRNA from 1 species